CCUACGGGAGGCAGCAGUGGGGAAUAUUGCACAAUGGGGGAAACCCUGAUGCAGCGACGCCGCGUGAGUGAAGAAGUAUUUCGGUAUGUAAAGCUCUAUCUGCAGGGAAGAAGAAAGACGGUACCUGACUAAGAAGCCCCGGCUAACUACGUGCCAGCAGCCGCGGUACUACGUAGGGGGCAAGCGUUAUCCGGAUGUACUGGGUGUAAAGGGAGCGUAGACGGCUGUGCAAGUCUGAAGUGAAAGCCCAGGGCUCAAACCUGGGACUGCUUUGGAAACUGUGGAGCUAGAGUGCUGGAGAGGUAAGUGGAAUUCGUAGUGUAGCGGUGAAAUGCGUAGAUAUUAGGAGGAACACCAGUGGCGAAGGCGGCUUACUGGACAGUAACUGACGUUGAGGCUCGAAAGCGUGGGGAGCAAACAGGAUUAGAUACCCUAGUAGUC
rnacentral:rRNA from 1 species